CCUACGGGGGGCAGCAGUGGGGAAUAUUGCACAAUGGGCGCAAGCCCGAUGCAGCCAUGCCGCGUGUGUGAAGAAGGCCUUCGGGUUGUAAAGCACUUUCAGCGGGGAGGAAGGCGUUAAGGUUAAUAACCUUGUCGAUUGACGUUACCCGCAGAAGAAGCACCGGCUAACUCCGUGCCAGCAGCCGCGGUAAUACGGAGGGUGCAAGCGUUAAUCGGAAUUACUGGGCGUAAAGCGCACGCAGGCGGUCUGUCAAGUCGGAUGUGAAAUCCCCGGGCUCAGCCUGGGAACUGCAUUCGAAACUGGCAGGCUAGAGUCUUGUAGAGGGGGGUAGAAUUCCAGGUGUAGCGGUGAAAUGCGUAGAGAUCUGGAGGAAUACCGGUGGCGAAGGCGGCCCCCUGGACAAAGACUGACGCUCAGGUGCGAAAGCGUGGGGAGCAAACAGGAUUAGAUACCCCAGUAGUC
rnacentral:rRNA from 1 species